CGGGGCGUAGCGCAGUCCGGUAGCGCACCUGCUUUGGGAGCAGGGGGUCCCCGGUUCGAAUCCGGGCGCCCCGA
rnacentral:tRNA from 1 species